rnacentral:tRNA from 1 species
CCUUCGAUAGCUCAGCUGGUAGAGCGGAGGACUGUAGGCUGUACAGAUAUUUGUGGACAUCUUUAGGUCGCUGGUUCGAUUCCGGCUCGAAGGA